CUGAAUUGUAGUCGCUGUCAGCUGCUCUACUAGAAUCAACAUGCCUUCUCCCUGCGAACCCUGCAAAGAAUCGUGCAAGGAGGGAUCUUGUGAAGACGCCUGCGCAUGUAAAGACAACGGCGGUUGCAACUCAUCUACUGCAGGAGGUUGCUGUUAACAGCCAGUAGUGAUAGUGAAGUCAUAGAACAUAAGAUCGAUUAGUAAGGCCAAUGGACGGCGCACCGCGACCGCACAUGCGCCGACGCUCACUGUGCGCACGCGUCAGUGACGCGCUAGAAAACUGCUUCCCUGUCGCCUUCUCCGUCGUCUUCUUCAUCACCAUUGUGCUCUUCUACUGCCUAAUAUAAUAAUAUAACAUAAACAAGCUCAUAACAAUAUCCCAAUUGGGGUAAAGAUGAAGUAAGUACC